rnacentral:lncRNA from 1 species
CAAAAUAGAAGUUGACGUACGAUGAUGGAUUCGUUAACCCAUCGACUUUCUCCGAGCAAAUGACCAAUACGCUAAAUAGAAGCAUAGAACCGCCACAAAAAUAGUAAUCGGAACGACUUGUUCAUGGCUUUCCCAAAUGUUUAUUGUAAAAUCCGAAAUCCCCAUUCUUCUCCUUGAUUUCACAAUGUCUGUGUUUUCUAUUGAGUAGCGGACAUAGAAUUCUGGAAUCAAAUACUCAGUAGCACUGUGUGAGAAACAAAAGGAAGCAGAGAUCUUCCAUGCUGUAGUGGCGAUUAAACAGUGGCACCUGGCACAUAAUAUCCGCCUUGAAGAUACGGGUCGAAUGGAGCCCAACUGUAGGACAACAUCGCCCUCACAGCAUCCGCUCUUACGAUUAACUGGGCCUGAUUCUAUGGGCUUACCUCCAACCCAAAUGGAUCUGAAAUAUAAUCACAGCAUAGCAACCCAAAAUUAUAUAAAUGUUCAUCUGCAGCAACUCAAGGAUCAUCUCAAUUUCUCGAAAUAAAUUGAAUUCGUGAAAUAGUUUCACUCAGGUAAAUUUAAUUUCAUUUUCUAGAUUUUUUUGAAUUACUUAUAGUGUUAAUUUUUAUGUGGAUUUAUAUAUAGUUUAAUGAUUGUUAUUGUGAAUUUAUUGCAUAUCUUGUGUUUGAUAAAAUUCCUCACACAGAUGUGUUUUGAUGCUUUUCAUAUUUCGCUUCAUAUACCUCCCAGUAGAGCGGGAAAGAUGAAAUUGAUCGCUCAACAUUUUGUUCUGAUACCCUAUAUUAUAAUGGUCGACUAAAGGAAUAUUUUUGUUUUCAUAGUGAUUUCGAUAAUGGAUACAAUUCUGAAAAAUUUAGAGCUUGGAAUUUCUGAAGUCUGUUGCCUUUAUUCAUGGCCAGUUGUUAAUAAAUAGUUAUAAGGAGGUUAAAACAGUGUUAGAAGUAUGGGAUAGAGCAAUUGGUACGAUAUAAUCACAGAUUCACAAGAUUUGACAAAGUUUUGUACUGGCUGCCAUUUCUAUGUAGUGAUUUCCUAAAAGGAACACAUUUAAGUUUGGAUAUUUCAAGAUAUAGGCGAAACCUUAUAUUUUUUGUUUGAUUUUUGUCUCGUUUGUGUAAUUGAAUAGAUUAUUUUGGUGAAGAGAACAAACAAUUACAGAUGGUAUCGUGCUUCCCAUCAACGCCAAAAAAGCUGGCGAUAACAGUUGCAUACUUCAUUGGUGGAGCCUCGUUGUUUGCAUUUGGUUUGCAUCUUUCACAUGUAAAUGCUGCUCCUCAACAAGCUCGGAUCAAAGCUCGGAACGACUUUGUUAGAGAGAGAUUGAGAAAGAAAUACGGGGACACAAGUGUGCAGCCUAAAUGAGCAUCACGGUAUACCAUGCACUAACAAGUCUCAAGAUUUACGGGGGUCUUAGUUUGACUCGUGUUAUCAUGUUUGGUUAAUCUUAGAAAGAUUACUUUUAAGUAACUUAAAAGUAAGUUAUCCAAAGAUAUCUGCUAAAAAAGAGUUUUUUUUUUUUUUUUUUUUUUUUUUUUUUUUAAAGCUUAAUCAAACAUGCUUUAACAUGUAGAGAUUUUGAAAUUAUAUUAGCAGGGUGUACUUUUUUCUCCUGAUAUUUGCAUCAUGUUUAACUUGUUUAUAAAUAGUUUAAACUGGUAGAAAUGAGUCACAAGUGGGUAGUGCUCGUAAGUCCCUUGAAAUGUGCGGAUAAAAAGAGGCUUGAACGUUUUAUAAACAUAAGCCAAACAGAGGCUAAAUUUAAUUUAAUCUCAUAGCUUACUCCGACAGUGAUUUUCUCACGUGAUCCCUCAUUCAUGUCUCUUAACUUCUGAUUUCUUGCAUGUUGUGGUUGAUUUGUGGGGCGAAUUCAACUACUAACCUGAAUAUGUUACAAGUAGAACCUGCGCUUGUUGCAUUUUACUUCAGUUCAGUGAUGUGUUUCAAAGUUGAAUGCAAAGAGGCUGGGCAAUUUAAUGACCCUUCAAAUAUUCAAUUCUCAGUCCAUCUCCAAGACAGCUGGUCAUUCACUGAUUUAAAUGCAUUUGUCCCAAUAAUUCUUAGGAGUCGAAAUUAAUAUUAACAAUAGAUUUUUACUAUUUGGAACAGUCAUGUAAUUCUCAUUGUACAUUCGCGUAUGCUAAAUAUCUCCUCGUGUUCUUGUUAUUUAGUUGUUUUUGGC